UCCUCCACCAACCUUCUGUGUCUUUUACAAGAGUUGGUGUCAAAUGAGGAAACAUGAGUUGCUACAUCUUAACCUUUGAGCACAGGAAAGUAGUAGUAUAAAACACCAGUGAAUCAUAUACUAAGUUAGUAGAACUGUUAGCAUUUGUUCAGGCAACAGUGAGGUCUGCACCAAAUAUGAAGUUCUUCGGGGUAUAUGUUAAAGAGAAAUCUUUAUCUUGACCCCUGAGAAUCUUAGUAUCUUAUGAGAAACAAAACCAGUGAAAACUUGCAGUUUAUGACAAGUUGUUACAAACAUACCUUAAGGGUGGGCAUGGACAGAUCUAGCACCUGGGUAAACCUGCCCCUUUAAAAUUUAUUUGUGAUUAACUCCUGUACACUUUAUAAUCAAGAGAAUAACCUUAGUUAAAUCUUAGGAAGAGAUCGGGGGAAAAAAAGAGGAACAGCUAUUUGUAGGCUAGAAUAGACAGAGUCCGAAGUUCUGAAACAAUUCAGGCAACCCAACCUUCAAACUUGAAUUGCUAGUGAAGUCCCAACGAGUAAUGAUGAAUAUUCAAAGACUUGGACGGACUUUGUCACUUUGUUUAGUGUAAAAUUAGUUUCUAAAUAUUUAUGGCUAUUGUUUGGAUACUCUUUUAACUUACAAAUUUUUAAAACUUUAUGUAUGUAAUAUAUAUUAUUACCAGUAUUAAUAAUAUUCCUGUGAAUUUAUAGGUAGACUCCUUAUAGGUCGACUCCUGAGAACGUGAAUAGCCCAACUCACUUUCAGGAUAUAGAGUAAAGAGAACAACCUUGAAGAAGCUCCCUUGGACAAUGGAUGUUUAUGAUUUACGGAGAGGGAUACGAUACUAGACAAAGGCUUCUGUUCCGUUUAUAACGCUGUAAACAGGAUAAGCCAGUGCCAGAGGGCUAACAGAAUGUACAUUGGGCUAGAAAAGAGAAUGUGGACAGUCACAACAGAAGUGAAGAACCGGUGAAAGGGAAGAUUAAAUACCAUAAAGUAAAGGGCACAUAACAGCUAAGCGAUGAGAGACUGAGGAAGGAGAUGCCUGGAACUGUAAUAUGUAACAGGAAACACUGAAGGAGGAAAGUGUGGAAUUGCAUCUAUAGCCAGAAAUAACCAUACCGUCUACUUUCAUGCCUGUUACAAUGGAAGAAGAAUCUUUGUUACUAUCAAAGACAGUGAAUGGAAUACAAUAUUCUGCCAUGUUUUCCUUGACAAAAGCCUCAAAAUCCAAAUUCCAGGUAGGUUAUAAAAAUAAAUAAAACAUAAGAUUCAAGACUUUUAAGUCAGCCUGGAUAUCUAUUUAGAGAGACCUCUAAAACUUACUUAUUAACCCUCAAACGAAGUAGUUUAUCUACCAUGAUUUGACAACAAUGACAAAAUAGCAUCUUCUCCUGACCACUCUUAGCCUGUUCUACCUUUCUUGCUCCUGCCCUGAGCACUGGGAAAUAACUUUCUGAUCUGAGUGAAACCUUCUCUUUUCAUGUUUCUUUGAGAGGCACUUCCACGCCCAUGAUUUCUCUUUUUCUAAAGACUAAGGUUUUGUCAAGCAAUAUAUCUAUCUCAAUUUAAGUGAUGAAAAUGUAGCCAAACUCUCACAUUCUCAGGCAAUGACAACUAGGUCAUGAAUGUCACCUGGCCAAAAGGGGUUUUAAGACACCACUGACUCUAAGAUGUAUCCUGAUUUCAGAUAUGCUAAAAUGUUAGAAAAAGAAAAAGUCUCCUAGAAUGAAUGAAAUGUAAGUACAAGAGUGCUGUGAUACUCUAAUUUCACUUUAAUGUUAAGAAUUUCUUAAGUUAUUUGAUAUUUUAACAAAUUAUCUUUAAAUAUUUGGCAAAUGCUAUGAAUCAGAACAUAAAAUAUAGUUUCUGAGCUUAAAGGCUAAUAAUGCUGUUAAUGAGGCUAUAUAUUAGAUACACUCAUAAGAAAAUGCAAAUGCUAAUUAAUGGCACAAGCCAAAAUUGAAACAAAAUUAAACAAAGGAGAUAUUAAAGUAGGCUUCAUGGAGAUCAUCUCCAUGGAUAUAAUUAGGAAGGUCAGAGGAGGGAAUUCCUACUUACUAGCAGGAAUUGAUAAAACAGAAACUGAAAAUUACAUGGAUGUCAAAAAUUUAAAAUUAUACGCAUGAAAAACUAGCUCUGAGAAGAAAGCAUCAGAAAGUUUGUAAGACCUAGUGCUGUUUUGUAAUACAAGUUUUUAAUAGAUUAAUAUUGCUGCAGUCUGCCUUAAACAACACUCAAUCAUAAUCUAAGGCAGGGUACGAUUAAAAGGCAAAAUAUUAGUUUAGAAAUACGAAUCAAGAAGGUCACUAUAUGGGAUCUAAAUACAAAAUCACACCUACACACACGUUAUCUCUAAGAGAUGUUCUCAUGUAAGGCAUUUAUCAUGCCUGCAAGAUAUUUACAUGGAUCUAUCUUAAACGUGUUUUUUCUCUAAGUUCUUUUUACUUAAAUAAAAGCAAAUAAAAACAUCAAGAGACAUGAAAACAUAUUUAUAAAACGCUAAUAAUGAUUAGAUGAGAAAUGAUCAAAAUUAGACCUGAUGACUAAAUCACAACCACAAUUAUACAAGAAAGUAACUCUACUCAGAAAAUAAUACAUUAUCUUAAUUUACAUAAUAACUUUCCUCUCAGAAGAUCAAGGUGAUUCUCCCACACAUUGAGUCACAUUUUCAUAAACCACGAAAGCCUAAGUUUCCUAAAGUAUAGUUUUAAAAUAUGUGCUUUCUGGGGCCAGCCUGGUAGCGUAGCAGUUAAGUUCGCAUGU